rnacentral:lncRNA from 1 species
CAGUUUCUUUAUUGUGUAAUAUGACACAAAUGCGCUGUGAACUGGGGCAAAAGGCGCAAGGGAACAUGGAAAGCGAUCAUCAAUCUAUCUGUUAGUAUAUGUACAGAUACUUGGUUUACACUGAAACAAUUGAAGUAUAAACAAUACCAAUGAAGUAUAAACACUGAAACAAUUAUAACUUGAAAUAUAUAGCUGUGAAAAUUAUACCAAUGUAAGUACACGCCAAACAAGCAUUGAUAUCUAGAAAAACAGUCUAAGGUAACAAAGAAGACCGAUGUUUACAAAUUUCUUCCUUUUGCAAAUUGCCUCUCUAAAGUUGAAGGCUGGCUUUGAUUACAUUCAAUAGUAGAGACUUUAGACCAAAGAAUUAGAACCACAAUUGGCAGAAUGCUUCUUUGCGAGAGCAGGUUAUUGUGGCAAAAAAUCUUAUAGACAAAACAGAGAAUAAUGGGAAGUCACUAUCAGAGCACAUCGUAAAUAUUGAAAGACUAGGCUCCUUUCUCCCCCUUCUGUCUCUUAUUUUUCUUUUUCCCUCUUUGGUCAUAGUUUUCAGAAUCAGGUGACUUAUCCAUUGAGCUUAAUUGGUUGGUGGCAUACAUGAUAAAGAGUAGAAGAGGAGAAUUUAUUUUACUUAUCAUGCUUGCAUCAUUUUGGGAUUGCAUGAUUCUUCUGGCUACAGUGUGUAUUUCAUCUAACAUGAAACUGAACCACCUUGUUUACCCACACUUGUCGUAUGUUGUUUGCAUUACCACAAAAGAUGCUGCUGUUAGUUCUGUCGUUUCUGCCUGAGCUUUUCUUUCAUGUCGCUCACACUUUUGUGUUUUUCUUCUCUUUUAUACUUUAUCUGAUUUGGUGAAUUUGAUGCAAAUGUGACCUACAUAAGUCUCUUGCACCAUCGCUUUGAUACAUGAUAUUUAUCUCUGAACCAUCUCAAUGUCAAUGUGUGGAUAAUCGUAAAUUGAAUUUUAAUAAUCUUUAUAUCUGUUUGUUCCAUGAUCAUCUCUAAUCUAUAUCCAAC